UCCACAGGAGGGAGACCUUUCUCUAGAUAGAAAGGCUUGAGCAGAGCCUGCUACUUGGAUACUUGGGAUGGAGAUCAGCAGGGAGAAAGGCUUACAUAAAAUUGAUGAGACUGCUAAUUGGAAGAAAUUAUCUUUCUUUGGGAAAAAAAACCCAGGCUAUUCAGAAUUCUCUGAGGAUGGAAUGCCUGCAAUGCUAGUGCAUCUAAAUGAGGAAUUCUGAAGACAGCUGCUGUUUACCUUGCCCAUCAGAAGCAAUGAAGCCUAACUCAAGAGGCAGUCUUGCCAGAGAGGUACUGGACAAUAAAAGGAGUUUUUUGCCAGGCAGAACAAGGAUGGAAUGUAACUUCUGGGAAAAUGCCAGAAAAGCCUGGGGAGGAAGGGCUUUAUAUCUCUGCAGCUUGAUGAACUGGGACCGGGAGACAAAGCAAGCUAGAAAUGAUUCAG
rnacentral:lncRNA from 11 species